UGGGGGAAUUUUCCGCAAUGGGCGAAAGCCUGACGGAGCAAUGCCGCGUGGAGGUGGAAGGCCUACGGGUCGUCAACUUCUUUUCUCGGAGAAGAAACAAUGACGGUAUCUGAGGAAUAAGCAUCGGCUAACUCUGUGCCA
rnacentral:rRNA from 1 species